rnacentral:sRNA from 1 species
AGCAGCCGCGGUAAUUCCAGCUCCAAUAGCGUAUAUUAAAGUUGUUGCAGUUAAAAAGCUCGUAGUUGAAUUUCGGGGUCAGUAGGCUGGUCGUGCCACAGGUAUGAACUGGUCUCACUGAUUCCUCCUUCCUGAUGAACCGUAAUGCCAUUAAUUUGGUGUUGCGGGGAGACUGGACUGUUACUUUGAAAAAUUAGAGUAGUUUAAAGCAGGCUAACGCUUGAAUACAUUAGCAUGGAGUAAUGAAAUAGGACGUUCGAUCCUAUUUUGUUGGUUUCUAGGAUUGACGUAAUGAUUAAUAGGGAUAGUUGGGGGCAUUAGUAUUCAAUUGUCAGAGGUGAAAUUC